UCAGGCCCAGGCAAAGGUUUCAGCACCUGAGAAUCAUAAAGGCAUGCUUCUAGACCUUAAAACUGGAAAUGUACCCCUGAAAUUUGAGGAUGUAUCCUGCCCCUGAUCCACAAUACUUGGAUGAUAGUUUGGGUCGUCUGCCCAACCUUCCUAUGAUGACCUUGGAUGGAUCAGAAACAUCACCUCAUCAAAUGGAGCACUUUCAGUCCAACAUGGGAGAUUGCACAAUGUGCCAACCGGGGGUCUUUCAAAAAAAUUAAUUAAGACAUACAAGAGAGGAAGGCACCAAGAGGCUAGUGCAAAACGUUCUGUGGGAUCGCUUCAGACACUUGAGAAUUAUCAUAAUGAAUUGCUGUCACUGUUA